CUUUGCAGGAAGACAGUCGUCUUUCUCUUUCAAACUAACUCAGCCUCUCCCUCCCUAUAGUGACUCUGUCCUGCGCUAACCUACAGCCAAGGUUACACUCAACAAAGUUUGCUGAAUAAGAAUACCUGGAUUAUCCAAAUUAGACCAUGAAGGCCUUUGGACCAAACAAACAAGAGAAGCAGGUAGUGGCAGGUUCUAAGUGAGGCAGAGUGGGCCCAGGUGUCUCGGAGGUGAGGGCAACUCUUCUCGGGUGCAGGUGGAAGGCUUAACC
rnacentral:lncRNA from 1 species